rnacentral:rRNA from 1 species
CAAUAGCGUAUAUUAAAGUUGUUGCGGUUAAAAAGCUCGUAGUUGGAUUUCUGCUGAGAACGACCGGUCCGCCCUUUGGGUGUGUAUCUGGCUCUUUCUUGGCAUCUUCUUGGUGAACGUUGCUGCACUUGACUGUGUGGAGCGCUACCCAGGACUUUUACUUUGAGGAAAUUAGAGUGUUUCAAGCAGGCAUACGCCUUGAAUACAUUAGCAUGGAAUAAUAAGAUAGGACCUCGGUUCUAUUUUGUUGGUUUCUAGAGCUGAGGUAAUGAUUAAUAGGGAUAGUUGGGGGCAUUCGUAUUCAACUGUCAGAGGUGAAAUUCUUGGAUUUGUUGAAGACGGACUACUGCGAAAGCAUCUGCCAUGGAUGUUCUCAUUGA